rnacentral:rRNA from 1 species
UACGGAGGAUGCGAGCGUUAUCUGGAUUUAUUGGGUUUAAAGGGUGCGUAGGCGGACUGUCAAGUCAGCGGUAAAAUUGAGAGGCUCAACCUCUUCCCGCCGUUGAAACUGGUGGUCUUGAGUGGAUGAGAAGUACGCGGAAUGCGUGGUGUAGCGGUGAAAUGCAUAGAUAUCACGCAGAACUCCGAUUGCGAAGGCAGCGUACCGGCAUCCAACUGACGCUGAGGCACGAAAGCGUGGGGAUCAAACAGG